rnacentral:rRNA from 1 species
UACGUCGGGUGCGAACGUUUCUCGGCCUUACUGGGCGUAAAGCGCUCGUAGGCGGUUGUUCAAGUCAGAUGUGCAAUCCCCGAGCUCAACUUGGGAAGUGCAUUUGAAACUGGACGGCUGGAGGAUGGGAGGGGGUAGCGGAAUUCCCGGUGUAGAGGUGAAAUUCGUAGAUAUCGGGAGGAACACCAGAGGCGAAGGCGGCUACCUGGACCAUACCUGACGCUGAGGAGCGAAAGCGUGGGGAGAACACAGGAGGAGAUACCCCUGUAGUCC